UUGGAUUAAAAAGUGUUGCUGGACUUGGUUGAUUAAAAAUAACUGAAGUCAGAGAGAAUUGUGGGAACCUCUGAGGCACAGGGGAUCUGAAGGGGGCAGGACAAAGGUUUUGUUUCAGAAAUACAGAAGCUGCUUCUGACCUAAUUGAUCUAAACUGCUUUUCUUCAGGAAACACUACAAAAUAUCUUCUUUUCAAGGCAAAUGAAUUUGGAGACUGGUGAGAGAGAGAAAGGGUGGCUGUGGUAGAGGAAAUAUUUUUAUCCAGGCCUCAGGAAACGGUGGUCUGGCUGCAGUGGUGUGGAUGGUUACAUGAAGAGAAUUCGAGCAGGGCAAAGCCUGCCGUCACUUAAUGUCUGCCCCCAAACUCCUGGACUGCGAGAACUAAUGUCAAUAUCCACCUGGAAAUAACCAGCGAGGAAACUGCUACCCUAAAACAACCCUUCAAGCUCAAGUGAGAGAGAGAAGAUAGACUUAUUUGGGCUAGCAUUUUCAUUAGGACACGGUGUUUUCCUUGAUUGAGUUGCUUUUGGGCACUUGUAUAUCUGAGGCUACCCAGACUGUAGUAAUUUUCCAGCUGAUCCUAUUCUGACUGGAGGAGUGAAAUGUAUCGCCCCAUGGAAGAGGAAACAAACAGGAAGGCAUAGGAAGAGGGACAGCACUUGAAGCCCUUCCAUUUUCAGAAAAAAGAAUCGGACUUUGAGAUAUGAAGAAACUGGGGUGAAGGGCCCCUCUCCCCUCAUAGAGGAUAUGGGGAGAUGGGAUGUGACAUUUUUCUGUGCUUAGGACUGUGUUCACAUGAACACAGUGAGAGGCCUGUUGAUAAAAAGAAGCAAUAUUGUUGGGAUGCCUAGGAUUUCAAAAUAUUACUUCAUAAUAAGCACAAAACACAUCUUAAAGCACAUAUUAUGGGUCCAGAAGAACACAUCUUUCAGUGUUCUUUACUUUGAGAAGUAUUUAAACUACUCUGGCAGAUGAAGGCCACUCAGUGUACCAUGAGCACGCAGAAUCUCGCCCUUCAUUGGCUUCAUGUCCAUUUUAUGGACCAGCGAGUCUAUUAAGAUCUUGAUUUGGAUUUGGCUUGCUUGAUGCUGGACGAUUAAUGAAGGAAGCCCUAACUGGACAAAUGUUGGUCUCCUGAGACAAUGUGUUGUUGAUAACAGAAGGUUAAGGAAUGAGAGCCUAAUGGCCAGCUCCCUGCAGGUCCAGGUACGGCACUGUACAUUGUUUAAGGCCACGUUUUGCAGAAGUGACUGUGUUUUCUUGUGUUUGUUGUCUUUUGUAUUCUCUGGAGAUAAAGGUAGAAAUCUCAGAGGGGGAAGAAAAAUGGAUGGACAUGGAAAGUCACGAACACAAGGUCAUCCGUGCUCCAGCUCCAGCAAUUAUGUGUAAUCAUAGUUCUUUUCAACAAAGUGGCUCCUAGGCAGUUUGGGACCUGGGAGCCAGUCCUCUGGCUGAUGCUAACAAUGUUUGAUUCAAAUAAAUCCAUAACCCCGUUAGUAUCUCUUGCAGCAUUAUCAUAGUCACAUCAGCGAUGCUGUAAACUAAUGUUUUACCUAACAGCCUAAAUAGUGGCUUAGGCAGUGUUUCAUGUAUGUGAAGAUACCCCGGGUUUGUCUCAAGACACAGAACAGUCAGCCUUGUCACUGCCACCUUGCAGAGAUCCCCACCUUAGACACAAUGCACUGAAUCAGAGUGUUCCCUCUCUGCCCGGGGCAUGUCAUUCUUUAGGAAACAUUUCAAGAUUUAUUAGUCUGGAGAAAACAAGAAACAGACCAUCAUUUACUUAUUUUCCUGCUCUGCAGGUACAGAGCAGUCACCUACAAUGAGCUCAUCCCAAAAGCCACAGUGUCUUUUUGUUUAUCAGUUUCAGCCAGAUUAAUGUUAAGAUGGUCUGGGUGCAAACAGUUGGUUUUGUGCACCUAUGGAUCGAUAACUUCUGCAUGUUUUUCAAUGUAGAAAAGGCAGUAAUAAAGUAAAAACAUGUAGUCCUGUGAGGUGAUUGCUUCCCAAAGUUGUUUCUCUGUUCAACCCUGCAGUAAUUCUCCAGCAAAGCAAUGCAGAGAGUUACACCCCUGAGGAACAGGAGUACUCUUCCUUUUCUCUGUAUCAAUGUUAUUAGUAAAAGGCACAGCAAGGAAGUCUGUUUCUCAAUAUUGUACCUACUUGAGGCUCCUGAAGGUAUGAUUAAUUGGGAGUGAUUAAUUAAACCAUGAGUCAUGACCUCCUUUUUUUCCUGUCACAUUACUUAUGAACAAGAGGGAAGUCAGUGUAGUUAAAUGGUAUGAGAUAGUAAAUUUAGAGGAAAUAAAAAGAAAUUUGUUGUGUUGCCUGUGGUCAACCUGUGGGAUUUCCUGCUACAGGUGACCAUCUGAUAAAUAGGGUUCCUUGAUUGAAAAGAAUAGUUGUUAAUGUUAUUACCAUAACUGGUGGAACCAUCUCUUUAUUUCUGGGACUUCUGGGUGCACUGGGAAGACAGAAAUGAGUCCUGCUUGGCUAAUAAAGUGAGAGCAAAUGCACCAUGUAUUGGGAAGUCAGGCAGCAGUGCUGUUCUCCAUGGACAACAGCACUACACUAUUAGCUUGAUCUAUGAGUUGCCAUUUCAUGGUUUGGUUGGUUGUUUAUUUGUCUGUCUUUUUAAUUCCUCUGGAAAAUACUGUACUGGCUCUCUCUGUUGACUGAAUGACCAGGCUUGGGCAGAAGACAUAGCAUUCUUCUUCUCUGACCUUUAUAUCAAAAUUGAUUAACAAUAAUUCUUUUGCAGAAAAAGAUUGACAAUAAGAUGUGGAUGUUCAUCUUUAAUGAACUCUAGUCACCAAGUGGAAACCAGCUAGCUUUGAUGGUGUAAUAGAACACCUUCUCAGCAAUAGCUGAAUAACUUGCUCCUCAAAAUGAGCAAGCCUGUUAACUGCGAAUGUGAAGAGAUGAAGCAAGCAAAAAAGAAAAAGUGUGAAGAGCUUUGCUGCCAUGUCAUCACUGUAUCAGAUAAUUUUAGGAUCAAUGAGUGAAUAGGCAUGUAAGAGAGACUGUUUUUCUACAGAGAAGGGCUAUUUCAAAGAAAGGGGGGGAAAUUAAAAGGCACAUCAGUACAUUGUUAUUAUAUGAUGAUGAUAUUAGAGAAAGAACUUCAUUUGUCUUCUUUUAAUUUUGGA